GCCAUCUUUACAAAACAAGAAAUUACAAAUUGGAAUUUCUUAAAAUAUCCCGAAACUCGAAACUGACCUACUUUGGUGAGGUGGAUCAUCGCAACAACCAACAUCCUUUGAUCCUAUCCGGAGAUUUUGAUAUUGCCAACAGCGGAGAACUGGCACUGAACGGCCCUCCCGUGAGGGAUCUUUUUGUCCCGACCAUCCGGAUAAGCAGCGGCACCAAUGAUUGCAGGUUUCCUCCGGAUUCCCAUCAACCCAUCCCCCGAGCGGAAUUCCCAUCAACAGGCCGAUGAAGGGAAAAGGCACCUACAGCUAGCAUGCAAACGGAUUCCGAUUUAGCAAGACAGCCACGAACUUCGGCAUCACGCGUCACUUACAACAGCGGGUUGGUGUUAUGCUGGCUACCACAUCAACAGGAAAUCAUUCAUCCAACCAACUGGAUGGUGUUUCUUCCGGCAACACCUUAAAGGUGACGCAGAAAAAGUUGCUCUCACAUCUGUAACGGGGGAAACAGGAUUACCGGAUGGGGCCUCCAACGAGUACCAAGCGGAUUCUUCCUCCACCAAGUGUUUUCAAGAAAGAAUACAAAGACGCUCAUCGACAAUCUUUUUUCGGGUAAGUGCCCAGAAAACAUGGACGAAUAGACCGACACAUUGCUGGUUACUCGAACCAAAGGCCUGAAUCUUCCAGCACAACCUGCCUGAAA